ACCUCGAUGUCGGCUCAUCGCAUCCUGGGGCUGGAGCAGGUCCCAAGGGUUUGGCUGUUCGCCAAUUAAAGCGGUACGCGAGCUGGGUUCAGAACGUCGUGAGACAGUUCGGUCCCUAUCUGCUGUGGGCGUAGGAGAUCUGAAGGAAUCUGCUCUUAGUACGAGAGGACCGGAGUGGACGAACCUCUGGUGAUCCGGUUGUUCCGCCAGGAGCACCGCCGGGUAGCUAUGUUCGGAAGGGAUAACCGCUGAAAGCAUCUAAGCGGGAAGCCCCUCCUGAGAGCGAUCUCCCGGACUUAUGUCCCUUAAGGUCACAGGUAGACUACCUGUUUGAUAGGCCGGGGGUGGAAGCAUGGCAACAUGUGAAGCCGACCGGUACUAAGCGACCGUGUGGCUUGACUUGAAUAUCCU
rnacentral:rRNA from 1 species